rnacentral:rRNA from 1 species
GACGAACGCUGGCGGCGUGCUUAACACAUGCAAGUCGAACGGAAAGGCCCAGCUUGCUGGGUGCUCGAGUGGCGAACGGGUGAGUAACACGUGGGUGAUCUGCCUCUAACUUCGGGAUAAGCUUGGGAAACUGGGUCUAAUACCGGAUAGGACAAUCGUUUAGUGUCGGUUGUGGAAAGUUUUUUCGGUUAGGGAUGAGCCCGCGGCCUAUCAGCUUGUUGGUGGGGGAAUGGCCUACCAAGGCGUCGACGGGUAGCCGGCCUGAGAGGGUGGACGGCCACAUUGGGCCUGCGAUACGGCCCAGACUCCUACGGUAGGCAGCAGUGGGGAAUAUUGCACAAUGGGCGCAAGCCUGAUGCAGCGACGCCGCGUGGGUGAUGACGGCCUUCGGGUUGUAAACCUCUUUCGACAGGGACGAAGCUUUGGUGACGGUACCUGUAUAAGAAGCACCGGCUAACUACGUG